rnacentral:lncRNA from 1 species
CACUAAGAGAAGUGGAAAAGAGGUCAAAGGAAAGGACUUUCAAAAUAUAGAAAAGUUUCUGACUUUGAAGUUGAACUGCCCUAGGUUGAAAUCUUACCAGCUGUGUGAUCUCAGGCAAGUUUAGUU